rnacentral:rRNA from 1 species
UACGGAGGGUGCAAGCGUUGAUCGGAAUUACUGGGCGUAAAGCGCACGCAGGCGGUCAAUUAAGUCAGAUGUGAAAGCCCCGAGCUGAACUUGGGAACUGCAUCUGAAACUGGUUGUCUAGAGUAUUGUAGAGGGGAGUAGAAUUCCAUGUGUAGCGGUGAAAUGCGUAGAGAUGUGGAGGAAUACCGGUGGCGAAGGCGACCACCUGGACAAAGACUGACGCUCAGGUGCGAAAGCGUGGGGAGCAAACAGG